GAUGAACGCUGGCGGCGUGCUUAACACAUGCAAGUCGAACGGAAAGGCUCCUGCUUGCAGCGGUACUCGAGUGGCGAACGGGUGAGUAACACGUGGGUGAUCUGCCCUGCACUUCGGGAUAAGCCUGGGAAACUGGGUCUAAUACCGGAUAGGACCACAUUUUGGAUGGUGUGGUGGAAAGUUUUUCGGUGUGGGAUGAGCUCGCGGCCUAUCAGCUUGUUGGUGGGGUAAUGGCCUACCAAGGCGUCGACGGGUAGCCGGCCUGAGAGGGUGUACGGCCACAUUGGGACUGAGAUACGGCCCAGACUCCUACGGGAGGCAGCAGUGGGGAAUAUUGCACAAUGGGCGCAAGCCUGAUGCAGCGACGCCGCGUGGGGGAUGACGGCCUUCGGGUUGUAAACUCCUUUCGCUAGGGACGAAGCGCAAGUGACGGUACCUGGAGAAGAGGCACCGGCUAACUACGUG
rnacentral:rRNA from 1 species